AGCGCUUCAGGAGGAGAAGGAUGGAGGUGCGGCCGGACCGCGCGAAAGCAGAGGCGGCUAAAGCUCUCAAGAGACUGCACAGGAUCUUGGAGAAGCGUCAGGAGAAUGGCGAGACCAUCGAGCUUUCAGCAGAGGGCCGAGCCGAGCUGGUGGAAGAGAAGGAGAUGCCGAUGGUGGACUGCACCUGCUUCGGUCUUCCUCGGCGCUACAUCAUCGCCAUCCUCUCAGGUCUGGGAUUCUGCAUCUCCUUCGGCAUCAGGUGUAACCUGGGCGUCGCCGUGGUCAGCAUGGUCAACAACCACACUGUCUACAGGGAUGGAAAACCCUACAAUGUGAAAGCUCUGUUUCAGUGGGAUCCAGAGACAGUAGGGAUGAUCCAUGGAUCGUUUUUCUGGGGUUACAUCGUUACUCAGAUUCCUGGAGGAUUCAUCUGUCAAAAAUUUGCAGCUAACAGGGUGUUUGGUUUUGCGAUUGUAGCCACGUCGACGUUGAACAUGUUGAUCCCGACAGCAGCGCGAAUGCACUACCUGUGUGUGAUAAUGGUGAGAGUGCUGCAGGGGCUGGUAGAGGGAGUAUCUUACCCAGCAUGCCAUGGAAUUUGGGCCAAAUGGGCUCCGCCCCUGGAGAGAAGUCGAUUGGCUACAACAGCGUUCUGUGGCUCGUACGCGGGAGCGGUGAUAGCCAUGCCGUUAGCCGGAGUGCUGGUUCAGUACAUCGGCUGGUCCUCUGUGUUUUAUGUUUAUGGUAGUUUUGGGAUCUGUUGGUACAUGUUCUGGAUUCUGGUCUCGUAUGAAAGUCCAGCUGCUCAUCCCACCAUCACUCCUGAAGAGAGGAAAUACAUCGAGGAAGCUAUCGGAGAUUCCGCCGGCCUCUGCAACCCACUGACGAAAUUUAACACUCCCUGGAGGAAGUUCUUCACCUCCAUGCCGGUUUACGCCAUCAUCGUAGCCAACUUCUGCAGGAGCUGGACCUUCUACCUGCUGCUCAUCAGCCAACCGGCUUAUUUCGAGGAAGUGUUCGGAUUUGAGAUUAGCAAGGUGGGUAUCCUCUCGGCCCUCCCCCACCUGGUGAUGACCAUCGUGGUGCCAAUCGGAGGGCAGCUGGCCGACUACCUUCGCUCCAAUAACAUCAUGUCCACCACCAACGUCCGCAAGAUGAUGAACUGCGGCGGAUUCGGUCUGGAGGCAACGUUUCUGCUGGUGGUGGGAUUUUCUCACACUAAGGGCGUGGCCAUCUCUUUCCUAGUGUUGGCUGUUGGAUUCAGUGGUUUUGCUAUCUCAGGGUUUAAUGUUAAUCACCUGGACAUCGCCCCGCGCUACGCCAGCAUCCUGAUGGGCAUCUCUAAUGGAGUGGGCACACUGUCGGGCAUGGUGUGCCCUCUGAUAGUCGGUGCCAUGACUAAACAUAAGACUCGGGAGGAGUGGCAGUAUGUGUUUCUCAUUGCUUCCUUGGUUCAUUAUGGCGGUGUAAUCUUCUAUGGUCUCUUCGCGUCCGGAGAGAAGCAGGCGUGGGCGGAGCCAGAGAACACCAGCGAGGAGAAGUGUGGAAUUCUGGGAGAGGACGAGCUAGCGGAUGAAACCGAGGAGCUCUACCGAACGGGGGGUGGCGGCUACGGAGCCACCAGCCAAUCCGCAGAUGCCAACGGGGCGGGGACUGGAGGGGGUGGGGGGAACUGGGUCUCGGACUGGGACAAAACGGAGGAGUACGUCCAGCCCACCGGGACCAACAGCUACCUGUACGGAGGAGGAGUGGAGCGAGAGCUCACGUAGAGGUGGAGCGAGAGAGCGACGGAGCGAGAGAGUGAGAGUGUUAAUGUACACCAUACCAGAUGGGUGUGUAUUUUAGUGUGGCAGCAAUGCACUGGUGUAUGAUUGUGUGAUUGUGUGUGUGUGAUUGUGUGUGUGUGUGUGUGUGUGAUUGUGUGUGUGAUUGUGUGUGUGUGUGUGUGUGUGAGAACUGUGAGUGUUUUCCCUGCAGUUAUUCUGUAUUUAGAACUUUAGGAACCUUUUCUAAUCACCAGCCACAUCCCCCCGCCUCCACCUUUAGAACCACUAUUACCCCACACUGUCCCCAAACACCACACCUGUGCUCACCUGACCGUACCUGAGCUCACCUGAGUUUAACUGAGAGCAGGUAGACCCACCUAAACCAGUGUGUAUUCACCUGAGCCCACCUGCCCUCAACUGAGCUAAACUAAAAGCAGGUGAGCUCACCUCAGCCUACCUAAGUGCCACUGAGUUGUAGGCUGUUGUGGCUAAUUAAGGCGGUGUAGGCGGGGUUAGAUGCGGUGGGUGGGGAAGGGUGGGGUGUGUCCAGGUGGAGUGUGGAGGCGUGUACCUGUGGUUGCUGUGCCUGAGUGUUCCUCAUAUUGAACCACUGCUGAGCGUUCUUCCAGCUCAGUUACCAUAAUAAAGCACCACUUAACGAGCACAACCAGCUUAACGAGCACAACCAGCUUAACGAGCACAACGAGCACUGAUCGUUUCCGAGCUCCUCAGAGGCUGAGGGACGUUAGCAAUAUCAUAAAUCACUGAUAAUGAUACUAGAAGUUCCACCUGAUCAAUACCUGCCGAGCUCCUUAAAGCUUGCAGGUUUCCGAGAGUUUUCUAAAAGGUGGAGGUUUGUGAGAACUCUCUAAAGGGUGGAGGUUUUUGAGAACUCUCUAAAAGGUGGAGGUUUGUGAGAACUCUCUAAAAGGUGGAGGUUUGUGAGAACUCUCUAAAGGGUGGAGGUUUUUAAGAGCUUUCUAAAGGGUGGAGGUUUGUGAGAGCUGUUUCUCUGAUGUCACUGACGGUCUGAUUAACAGGUUGAUUAAAUUAGAUUUAGGUCUGUUUUGGCCGUUACGCUCUUUGAGGAACUUGGCGCUUGGUUGGUUCCUCCUGCAGGAUCGGAGUUUUUCUUGUGGGUGGAGAUAAUUUCAGUGAUGCUGGUGGAGAUCUGUUUUUUAAAAUAUAUAUAAAUACAUGUGGACGGGCCCUUGUGGACAGUAAGUGUCACUGCAGCCUUUUGUCUUUAAUUUACUGGACCGGGAUCAGGUCCUAGGAGAAACUGGUUAGUAUACGUAGAGUAGGUGUAGGAUAGACGUAGGAUGGACGUGAAUUGUGAUUGGUUAGCACGUAUACGGUUUUAGCACUGUUUCUUUUUUUUCUAUAAAAUGUAACCGGCACCAGUUUCGGACCCUCUGCCUCGUUACGCAGAUCACUGAUAAUAACGUAAAUUACGUACGAACUGUCCGCGCUGUGACAUCACAGCAUUUUAAUCGUAACCGAGGACAGAAUGUAUCAGAGCAUCAGCAAAACUGCGUUCAAUAACACUGAGAUAAUAAUCAAUAAUCUGCACUGUUGAUCAGAAUGCUCGUUCUGCUGCACCUAUAUUUAUCUAUAUUUAUAUUUAAACACCUGUAGAAUCACCUGUCCUGACCUCUGUUCCUAUUGGACACUGGGUUUUGUAUCAUACCUUCAGGUGUUUUGUUUGUUUGUCUUUCUUCUCUCACUUGAUCGGGUCAAUAUCACUCAAUCUAUCACUUUAGUUAUUAUAGAUAAUGUAGUGUAGUCAUGUUGACGUUAAAUAAAGGGGUUAUAUGCUGCUGCGUUCACACUGCAGGUAAAUCUGAUCCAAAUCAGUUUUCAAUUUCAAUUUGGGACACUUUCAUAUGUGGUUUCAAAAAGUAUUUUUUAGGAACUUCUUGACUGUGUUCAAACUGUCAGACUAGAAUUCGAUCAUUAGUAAAGAUUCUAAUGUAAAGAUCUAGAUUGUAUCCAGAUUAAUUUUUAAAGUCUAAAAAACCAAACGACUCAUAAAAACACAUCUGGAGGUGGUUUAAAAAUGUCCACUGGAACCCAAGCAGAUCUGUUUGUGAUGUUCAGACAUGCAAAUCCGAUCUGUUCUCAGUCAUCUCAACAGAUCCCGAUUAACAAGAUGCUCUUUAGUGUCUGAUAUAAAUCACAUUAAAUAGACAGUGUGAACAGCCUAAAAUAAACUUCAGAUUCUGUGCGUAAAUCAGACGUGGUCCAGUUUUACCUGCAGUCAGUGUGAACGCAGCGUUAGAUUAGUUCUGUUGAUUACUGACCCCUACAGGACAGACAGGAAUAAAACCGUCACUUUCUGAGAAAAACCAAAGAGUUUUUACUGGUUUUAUCAGGUUUAGUAUCAGAACCGGUUUACACUGUUCACACCACUCACACACUCCUGCACAAGAUUCAGAGUCUUCCUUUAUCUUUAUUAUUUUACUGUUUCUUACAUGUCUGUUACUUUGCUGUAAAAUGUGUAAAUGAUUGAUAUUUAUUGUUAUUAUUAUUAUUAUUAUAAUCUGAAUGAUUUUGCGAUGUUUGUGUUUGAUCUGAACCUGUUUGUUACGUUUAGACGGUGUUUAAACUGGAGAUGAUCUUUGAUCAUUUCCUGUAUUUAUGAAUAAAAGUGAGCGU